GCCCGCAAAGAAGGUAGACGACAUUACCCAAAGGUCUCAUGUAAACACCAUCUUCACGCAGCUUCUGAAUGAGAGAACGUGCAUAUAGAGAUGCAUAUCCAGCAUUACUCCCUUCUGCUCGUAGUUCUAGAGCAAAUAGAGUUCCCAAUGCAACCACUCUUUGAACAGAAGGAUGCAAUGAGAUCUGUUGCACCAAUUCCACAUUCCAUAACUCCCUAAGCAACCCUUGUUCAGCAAUGACAUUAUGGUUU
rnacentral:misc_RNA from 1 species